rnacentral:lncRNA from 1 species
GGGUUGGCCUUGGUUGGGGGUGUGGGUAGGGUUCGUGCCCCGUAUGGUUCAGGGCCUAUAAAAGGUGGGUUGCGCCUCUCUCUAUCAGCUAUAGCUUUUAGUGCAAUUGGUUAGCGGUUCACUCUUAAGGUUUGAGGUUUGGUAUCAGAACGGAGGUCACGGGUUCGAAUCCCGCUUACGCCAUGCGCAAGUUCGAGGACGAACCUUUUCCCAAAGAAAGGGGGAAUGAUGGCAGCCAAAGGGUGGCCACCUGUCUCGGGUUGGCCUUGGUUGGGGGUGUGGGUCGGGUUAAUGCCCCGUAUGGUUCAGGGCCUAUAAAGGGUGGGUUGCGCCUCUCUCUAUCAGCUAUAGCUUUUAGUGCAGUUGGUUAGCGGUUCACUCUUAAGGUUUGGUAUCAGAGCGAAGGUCAUGGGUUCGAAUCCCGCUUACACUAUGCGCAGGUUCGAGGAUGAACCUUUCCCAAAGAAUGGGGGAAUGAUGGCGCCCAACGGGUGUACUCCUAUCGCAGGUCGGCCUUAGUUGGAGGUGCGGGUCCGGUUCGUGCCCCAUACGGUUCAGGGGGGUCGGGUUAAUGCCCCGUAUGGUUCAGGGCCUAUAAAGGGUGGGUUGCGCCUCUCUCUAUCAGCUAUAGCUUUUAGUGCAGUUGGUUAGCGGUUCACUCUUAAGGUUUGGUAUCAGAGCUCAAG